rnacentral:rRNA from 1 species
GAUGAACGCUGGCGGCGUGCCUAAUACAUGCAAGUCGAGCGAACAGACGAGGAGCUUGCUCCUCUGACGUUAGCGGCGGACGGGUGAGUAACACGUGGAUAACCUACCUAUAAGACUGGGAUAACUUCGGGAAACCGGAGCUAAUACCGGAUAACAUGUUGAACCGCAUGGUUCAACAGUGAAAGACGGUCUUUCUGUCACUUAUAGAUGGAUCCGCGCCGCAUUAGCUAGUUGGUAAGGUAACGGCUUACCAAGGCAACGAUGCGUAGCCGACCUGAGAGGGUGAUCGGCCACAGUGGAACUGAGACACGGUCCAGACUCCUACGGGAGGCAGCAGUAGGGAAUCUUCCGCAAUGGGCGAAAGCCUGACGGAGAAACGCCGCGUGAGUGAAGAAGGUCUUCGGAUCGUAAAACUCUGUUAUUAGGGAAGAACAAAUGUGUAAGUAACUAUGCACGUCUUGAGGGUACCUAAUCAGAAAGCCACGGCUAACUACGU